rnacentral:rRNA from 1 species
GACGAACGCUGGCGGCGUGCUUAACACAUGCAAGUCGAACGGUAAGGCGCUCCUUUUGUGGGGUGCUCGAGUGGCGAACGGGUGGGUAACACGUGAGUAACCUGCCCUUGCCUUUGGGAUGACUUCAGGCAUCUGGGGCUAACACCGGCUAGGUGCUCCUGCUGCAUGGUGGGGGUUGGAAAGUUGCGGCGGUUGGGGAUGGACGCGGGGCUUAUCAGCUUGUUGGUGGGGUAGUGGCUUACCAAGGCUUUGACGGGUAGCCGGCCUGAGGGGGUGACCGGCCACAUUGGGACUGAGAUACGGCGCAGACGCCUACGGGAGGGAGCAGUGGGGAAUAUUGCACAAUGGGCGGAACGCGGGUGCAGCAACGCCGCGUGCGUGAUGACGGCCUUCGGGUUGUAAACCGCGUCCGCCUGUGACGAAGCGGGAGUGACGGUAAUGGGUAAAGAAGCACCGGCUAACUACGUG